CCGUGAUGUGCGCGCGCGCGGUGUCGGGACCCUCGAGUUGUCCACACCAGCCGUCGCCGACAUCACACAAUGAUGUACAGAAGAAAGCCUGAGGAAUUGGGUUUCACAAGCCAAGUGUACAGCUGAGGACGAGAGCCAGAUGCUGCUGAUGGAGGGAAAAGACAAGGCCAGCAAUGGAUAUUUUAAAGGGAAAAGAGCAUUUUGAUCCAAAAUGCAACUGAAUCUUCCAAGAAUAAAUAACUGAUAAAAAACAAAUCUUCAGCAAAUUGUUCACAGCCACAAUUGCCGGCUCGGCCAAUGAAGUCGCCAUAAUCGGGGAGAUGUCGGUCUGAAGAGAAGAGAGUGAGCUGCACGUCAACCACAGCGAGCACCACACCACUAAGGUAGGACUGACUGACUCUCUGACGGGG